CACCAUCAGCAGGACUUAGUCAACCAGUUGUUGUAUGCAGCUCCUAAUUGUAUAUAAAGUAGCUUGUCAUAGGUUGUAUGAAAAAGAGGAAUCUCUGCAGAAACCUUUGGUCCUGCAAGUGAUCAAGGAAGAUGGCAAAUUAACAAGUUAGAGCCAUUAUUCUUGUUCUUUGUAAAUAUGCUCCAUUUUACAUUAUAGGACUUACAUGAUGAGGCAACAAGUUUGUUCUGCAAGAUCUUAUGUCUUGAAAUCCAAAAUUUACUGCAUAUGGCACUCCGCAACGACUGUUUUUCCCAUUUCCGCUGCUGAACCAAACCAUGUCGAUGCCAUUGCCUAGGUGAAAUCAUAAAUGAAAAAGGGAGUUAAGCUUUGAACAAUGGUCAGUGCAUGAUGUUUAACCAAAGAUGAAAUUGUGGGCUCAAGCCAACAAAAGUGCAAAUCUUCAGAAAAUUAUGUCUACAGACUAAGCCCAGUAGUUUUUUUAUUUGCAGAUUUCUUUUGCUGCAAAGUAAAUGACCUCCUGAAAAUCCAAGUAAAUACCCUGGCAACAAAUAGUAUUGCAUGCAUUCAAUAUUACUGCAGUUAAAGUAGGAGGAGCAGUAUGGAUGGAUUCAUAACCAGGGUCUGAACUUUCCAGCAAAAACUGGCAUGGCAUGUGAGUGAAAAUUGGGAGUAGGCCCUUUGGACAAUGCAUGCAGCUACCACGAAACUUCGAAACGGGUGCCACAUGCAAUGCUAUAAAUCAUGCAGACCACUGGUAGAAAAUUGAGAUGCGGGACUGCCGACCAAGUUGCGCGAUUUGCAGCAAUCAGAGCACUGCUCGGUGCUCACCAACACCUAGCAUGCAACUGCAAGUAGAGAGUACAGAACAAAAAGCAGUGAAGUGAACCCUGCAUCUGUCUGGAAAUUAAGUAUGUGUUUGGAUGGAAGACAAUGUAGGAUGGGAUGGUCCCGUCCCGGUUUUGUGGGAUGGGACCGUCCUGUCUAGUGUUUGGUUGAAAUGGGAUGGGAUAGUCCCGUCUUGUGUUUGGUUGGAGAGGUUGACGUGGUGAUAUGGAUGAUUUUUUUUGACAUCGUUAGCUACAGUAUUUUGUGGAUCCCACAUGUCAUCCUCUAUCCAUUCCAUUUCUUUUUUCCUUUUUCUUUUUCCCCUUAUCUUCUCUGGUUCUACCCGCCGGCCAUGGAGACCCGCCGGCUGCUGCCCAACCUCCUCCGGUCUUCUCCCGCCGGUCGAGGGCUCCAGCCGCGCCGUCGACCUUGAGCCCGGCCGCGCCGCCCCUCGGGACGGCUUCACCCACGCCGCCUACGCCCGCGGCAACCCUAGCCGUGCGGCUUCCGCCCCAGGAUGGCUCCGUCCCGCGCCGCCUCCGCCCGCCCGCGGGGAUGCUCCGCGCCACCCCCGGGAUGCCUCCGCCCGUGGCGGCCCUGGCCGCGCCGCCUCCGCCCACCCUGGUCCUGGCCGCCCCUGCCAGCGCCCGUUCGCGAGCCUUUCAACGGCAUGAACGGGGAAACGAGGGAUGACCCCAUCCGCCACUUUUGGUGGGACGGGGAUGUCCCGCAUCUGGAGGGUAUAUUCCCUCCCGGGGAUGUUCCCAUCCCACAUGUUUGUCAACCAAACAUGGGACGAAGUCGUCCCGUCCCACUUCGUUCCUGGAACCAAACGCAUCCUAAGUCUUCUGACUCUUGAACCAUUCCACCAUGUCCCCAUGGAGGGAUUGAUGCUGGCUCUUCAUCUAAUCGCAAUCAGCAUGUUGGGGAUGUGCCUUUGUAGGCUAGGGUCUAGGGACCCAUUUUUGCAUAUAAAAAAGGACUAAUUAGGGGGUCCAAGGGCUCAAUUUGGGUAUAAGGGGUCCUAGGGACUUGUUUGUACUAUCCAACCCCACCAAUGGAAUAAGUAUAAAUAGCCAUCUCCUCCUCCCUAAAAAUAAAGCUGGGGGAGGGGACUCUUGGCCAUGUGUUCAUUUGCUUACUUGUUCCCCCUCUCCUUCUCCCUCUUGUCUGUUCGGGAUUUCUAAUCCCAACGCAGCUAAAAAAAGAAAGAAAAGAAAAGAAAAAAGAUUAGGGUCCCAAAUCAUUCAGAAACCAGCCUAUCUCUGAAUGACUUGAAACAGGACACUGAAACAGAUAGCAGCACCUCCAUAAAAUUGAGUCCCUGGAUGCUUGAACUAUGUCAGUACGUAUCUGAUUGCACAACAACUAGUCGUCUAGUCCACUACAUUUGCCUUCAUGAGCAACAACUGAUGGCCUAGCAAAAUGUAAUCUGAAUCUCAAUGUGUACGUUAGUGGCUUAGUCGGAAUCGUAAGUAUCGAGCUCAGCUGAACCAGCUGCUUUGAAAGUUGAAACGAUUAAACCAGAGCUAAUGCCCAGUUCUAAUCAGCUCACUUUCAAGUACUAGUAACAGUCCGUGCACGGGCAAAUCCAAUUUUUAUAGGCUGAGGCUCUGUCUUCUGCUUAGCUGUGCACACGAACAAGCAAUCUGAAUAAGUUUGCCAGGUAUGGAAUUCUCACCAGAGCGGGGCGUGAAGGAGCGCUCCAGCCGACGCCCGACGACCCGCCGAAGCACCGAAGCGGACGGAGUGCCAGCGCCGCAUCCGCAUUCCCCUCGACGCCACCGCGCACCGGCAAGCGGUCAACUAGAGACGCUGCAGGGUCAAUUGCACGCGAGGAACAAG
rnacentral:lncRNA from 1 species